CAGCUGAGGGAUUUUGCGCAAUGGGCGAAAGCCUGACGCAACAACGCCGCGUGAGUGAUGAAGGCCCUCGGGUCGUAAAGCUCUGUCAGAGGGGAAGAACCACCUGUCGGAUAAUACCCGGCAGGUCUGACGGUACCCUCAAAGGAAGCACCGGCUAACUCCGUG
rnacentral:rRNA from 1 species